rnacentral:rRNA from 1 species
GAUGAACGCUAGCUACAGGCUUAACACAUGCAAGUCGAGGGGUAACGAGAGGAAAGCUUGCUUUCCUUGUCGACGACCGGCGCACGGGUGAGUAACGCGUAUCCAACCUGCCCCCAACUAAGGAAUAACCUUGCGAAAGUAAGACUAAUACCUUAUAAUUUCCUCAGAUGUCAUCUGACGAGGAAUAAAGGUUUAUCGGUUGUGGAUGGGGAUGCGUCUGAUUAGCUUGUUGGCGGGGUAACGGCCCACCAAGGCAACGAUCAGUAGGGGUUCUGAGAGGAAGGUCCCCCACAUUGGAACUGAGACACGGUCCAAACUCCUACGGGAGGCAGCAGUGAGGAGUAUUGGUCAAUGGGCGAAAGCCUGAACCAGCCAAGUAGCAUGCAGGAUGACGGCCCUAUGGGUUGUAAACUGCUUUUAUACAGGAAUAAAGUUAGCCACGUGUGGUUAUUUGUAGGUACUGUAUGAAUAAGGACCGGCUAAUUCCGUGCCAGCCGCCGCCGUAA